rnacentral:rRNA from 1 species
GAUGAACGCUGGCGGCGUGCCUAAUACAUGCAAGUCGAGCGAACAGACGAGGAGCUUGCUCCUCUGACGUUAGCGGCGGACGGGUGAGUAACACGUGGAUAACCUACCUAUAAGACUGGGAUAACUUCGGGAAACCGGAGCUAAUACCGGAUAAUAUAUUGAACCGCAUGGUUCAAUAGUGAAAGACGGUUUUGCUGUCACUUAUAGAUGGAUCCGCGCCGCAUUAGCUAGUUGGUAAGGUAACGGCUUACCAAGGCAACGAUGCGUAGCCGACCUGAGAGGGUGAUCGGCCACACUGGAACUGAGACACGGUCCAGACUCCUACGGGAGGCAGCAGUAGGGAAUCUUCCGCAAUGGGCGAAAGCCUGUCGGAGCAACGCCGCGUGAGUGAUGAAGGUCUUCGGAUCGUAAAACUCUGUUAUUAGGGAAGAACAAAUGUGUAAGUAACUAUGCACGUCUUGACGGUACCUAAUCAGAAAGCCACGGCUAACUACGUG